ACCAGGACCACAGAAAGAGACCAGUUACAGAACAGCCUAAAUACCAGGACCACCGAGAGAGACCAGCUACAGAAUAGCCUAUAUUCCAGGACCACAGAGAGAGACCAGCUACAAAAUAGUCUCACCACAAGGACCAAAGACAGGGACCAGCAGCAAAAUAAUCUUAAAGUUAUGACUGCUGAAAGAGAUCAAUUAAAGAUUAGUCUUAACUCAAGGACUAAAGAGAGAACCAGUUGCAGAAUAGUCUAAAUACCAGGAUCACUGCGAGAGACCAGUUACAGACCAGGCUUAGGUUCUAUGAGGAACCCUGUCUGGAUGGAUGGUGGAAGUUUGGCACCAGCUGUUAUUAUGUCUCCUCCAGGAUGGAAACAGCUGGGGGCAGUCAGAGAAAGUGCAGAACAAUGUGUGCUGCCUUGGUUAUUAUAAACAGCAGAGAAGAACAGCUAUUGGAUGGAAGGGGAACCAAAUAACUUGAAUGACAAGGUGGCUUGUGUUGAGAUCUCACAGACGGCAUCAGACCCAUUGAAGAAUUGGAAGGAUGGACCAUGUGCUCCUCGAAAAUACUGUGUGUGUGAAAAACCAUUCACACUGUAGUCCAAUUGCAAUAGCAAAUGUAAUUCCCUAUCUUAUAGAGUUGAACUGGUUUUCACUGUGUUAGGCUGAACCUGUUUUUGUUUCUAUGUAUAACUACAUUGAAAGACGUAUUUGAUGUCUUUAAAGAGACCAUGUCUAUGUGGAGUUUGUCCACCAUUCAUCAGGCCCAGGGGAGUGGAACUGUGGAUUCAUAGUCUCUAACUGUGGUUUACAUAUUAUUAUUUUUUACCAU